AAUCUGAGGUGACCAAUAUGAGAUCAUAAACAUGAAAACGAACAUUUAAACAUCGUUAUUUCUCCGACUGAAAACAUUUCCUGGAUUAAUCACACAAUCACACAUACAUGCUGGGGUUUAACAAAAGUACUGUGGCGAUACCAUUGUACAGAGAUUUUAAAUAUAUUCAAAUUAAAUACAUUUAAUAUAAUGUAUAAAUUAAGCAAACAUAACAAAUUAUUAAAUUAAAUAAUAAAAAUAGUUUUAAACAAAUAAAUAAAUAAAAAUACAUUUGAUAGUACAGUAGCUACCAUAGUAGAAAAAAAAAACCAUUAUAUUUUCCUAAUAAAUAUUUUAAAUUGGUCUAGUUUUCAAACGGGUGUCUGUGGAAAAGUCUAGAAAAAGACUAAAAAAAAAAUAAAAAUAAAUGAAUAAAAAAUGUAAAAAUAGUUAUUAAUCUAUUCAAUUGAUUAAAGUAAAUGUAAAAAAUUUUUUUAUUAAAAUUAAGAUAGAUGCCUUGUAAAUAGAGGUCCCUCACAUGUGAGGAGGAUCAAGUAUGCUUUAAAGCCUAAGAAUAUCAUGCGAGUAUUUUGAAAUAUGUUAUGAUACCGUCUCCGCACUGUCAUGGUAUGGUCAUGAUGAUGAUGAUGAUGUCACUUCCUGUUGUCCAGGAUCAGGUGGGGAUCAUGGCUGAAGACUGUUUGGUGUCCAUUAACUGCAGGUUUAGUGCGUUGGACAUCGAGGAGCUGAAGGUUCUUGAGAGGAAGUGGCAGAGGAAUCAGCCUUCAUCAUCCUCAUCAUCAUCAUUACCUGACAGAAACGGCCUGUUACGCUGCUGAGCGAAGGGUCAAAUGUGGCCUGGACGUUGUCUUCGUGAGAUUCACACUGUUAUCUAAUGAACGGGCCGUUAUCAGAGGAGGCUGAAGAUCUAAUCUGGACGCUGCAGAAUGUGCUUACAUAAACCCAACAUCAGAGAUCACUAGUGUUAAUUGGUUAUUUGAUUGAUUAGGCAGGGCGCGUGGGGACGAGUUGUGAUGGUGUGUGUGUGUCUCAGAGCGAGUGUGAGUACGUGACAGCGUGUGUCGGAUGCCGUGUCUUGCGUGAGAGCGCGGCGCGGCUGGCACUGACUGAGACACUGGCGUGCGAGAGCGUGUUAGCGUGAGAGCUCAGCUGGGUUGGGGCUGAACACCAGGUUUUUCCAGUUUUUUUGUUCCUGAGCCUCUUUUUUUGUUUUUGCUUUGUUUGAGCAUGCAUUUGUACACAAGUGUAUCGGCACAGCGCUAUCCUGAUCUCUGCAGAGAGACACCGAUCGCUCGCACGCGGAGAGCGCCUCACGCAGCAGGAGACGCCCCGUUACUGAUGCUGCGAUGCUGGGAAAGCGUCUGCUCUGCGUAACGGGAUUCAGGCCUGUUGGGAUGUAGGCCAUGGGAUACACCUUACCUGGAAGAGAUUGUGUAAUCAGACACGAACUGUUGUCAUUCUGAUCUUUCUGACAAAGUUGAAUCACAGGUUGAUGCUCAAUGGACCCUUCUCACGUUUCCAGCUUUCUCAGUAGCAGAAGUCAUCAUAGUUGUGUAAACAUCUAUAGUGGUAACGGAAACUACAGCAUUUUUGAAAAUGGCAAAAGAAAAAUCCAUGAUAGUGUGUCUAUGACUUUCCAAAAGAGGAAAACAAUAUCGAGAGAUUUAUUACAUGAGAAUGUCCACAACACGUUACUCAUGAGAGCCGCAUGCAGACGACUUGAUUGUUUUCAGUACUGAAAAAUUAUAUUUAGAAUUGUUAUUUCUUCUGAUGUUGCAGUGCGUUUUCUGUACAUGACACUGCCUUAAAGGGUUAGUUCUGUCAUUAAUUACUCAAGACCUUCGUUUUGGUCUUCUGGAGAUGAGGAUUCGGCUGCGUUGCGCCCUUUGGGGAGAGCAAUGUUGUUCGAGUCCGAUUCAGAGCUGAUGGCUAUGCUUUCCCGGGCUGCCGUGAGCGUCGGCCUCGAGUGGAACCCUCCACCGUGUCCCGAACUCCUCAUAGCUGGACGAUUGGUAUCUUCCUGGAAGUGCAUGACGAGGUAACAAAGUCAUGGAAGGCACCUUUUUCUGCUUGAAGCCGCUCCUGAACCCCCUCUGCUCUCACUAGCCUUGAUGGCGGGGCGGCCAAAAGGUACGUGGAGAUCCCUCAGGUGGAGCGUGCAGUUGUGGUGCAGUUUUGCCCGCAAAAUGCUCCCACCUGGCAGGGUCGCCCACGUCUCCCAUCCAGGGCCUGUAAGUUCUCGGCUGCUCUCGCGGCCAAGGCUUACGGCUCUGCUGGACAGGCUGCCUCUGCCCUGCAUGCCAUGGUGUUCCUGCAGGUCUACCAGGCGUCCAGGAGUGACAUCUGCGGCUUAACCUGGCUGGGAUAAGGGAAGCCGACAAAGAUCGCUUUCUUGACUCUCCCAGGCUGGCCUCUUUGGUGACGCCGCCAAGACCUUUGCCCAGCAGUUCUCGACAGUACAGAAGCGAUAGCUAGUGGCAGCCCCUCCGCCUGCUCAUUGCCAAGGGUGCAGCCUCCACCUCCACUCCCGUACGGCCACAGCAGCAGCCGUCACCCAGGCCACAACUUGGAACAGGCUGCAGGAAGUAAACGGCACCCGUAUCAGGCCCCGCCAGACCCUCCAAGCGUCAAGGCGAAGCGGAGUUCCUGAGACGGGCCACCCAGAGAUGAGGAAUUCUGCUCUUCAGGAGACGGUGAGGGCACCGCUCCUUUCCCCGGUGGAGGUUCUGGGCAGAGAAUCCUUGGUUGAGUUUGUUUGAGUUUCUUUUGUGUUCCGCCACUGGUCCCACAUUUGAUAAAAAAGAGCAAUUUCCUCAUUCUCUGGGUCCAAAGAGGGCGAGGCUGACAGUGAGCGACGCUAUGCAUUGCUGCUCUCAGCCCCCUCUUUCAUCACCAGCAUGCAGCUGGAUGCGGUUCAAGGACAACACCUUCUCACGCACCCCCUGCCAAACCGUGGAGACAGGUAAGUGUUGCACUGCACACUCAGACCCCACUCCGGGACACUCUCCCUUCCAGGUCGGGUCCCUGUCCUCCACCUCAAUGCCCUACCAUGGGUACGUCUGUGGUUCCUUUGGUCCCGCUGGUUUGGUUGCUGGGAGCCUGGUUAGCGCUUCCUAGCCCGUCACGCUGGCUCAUUCGGCUCAUUUGUUUCACCUCAGUGGCUAAUGUAGAGGCCCCUGUCCUGCAUGCAGAGAUCGCAGUCCUCCUGGCGAAGGACGCGAUAGAGCCGGUCCCUCCAGCCGACAUGUGGUCAGGGUUUUACAGCUCCUACUUCAUUGUCCCCAACAAGAGUGGUGAGUUACGGCCAAUCUUGGAUCUGCAUGUUUUGAAUCAGGUCCUUCACAAGCUUUCGUUCAAAAUGUUAAUGCAGAAACGCCUUUUCCAAUGCGUUCGCUCCCUAGAUUGGUUUGCAGCGACCAACCUGAAGGACGCAUAAUUUCAUGUCUCAAUUCUCCCUCGACACAGACCGUUCCUAUGCUUUGCGUUCGAGGGAUGGGCAUACCAAUACAAAGUCCGCCCCUUCUGGCUGGUCCUGUCGGCCCACCUCUUUACGAAGGUCGUGGAGGCUGUCUUUACCCCUCUAUGGGAAGUGGGUGUUCGCAUCCUCAACUAUCUCGACGACUGGCUCAUUCUUGCCCACUCACCAUCUGGGGCUUCAGGUCAACUGGGAAAAGAGCAAACUCUCCCCCGUGGAGAGGAUCUCUUUUCUCGAUAUGGAGUUGGACUCGAUCAACAUGACAGCGCAUCUCACGAAUGAGCGUGACCAGUCAGUGCUGAACUGCUUGAAUUCGUUCAAGGGCAGGACAGCGGUUCCACUGAAACGAUUUCAGAGGCUCCUGGGGCAUAUGGCAUCUCUCAGCCAUGGUCACACCGCUCAGUUUGCUUCAUAUGAGACCGCUUCAGCACUGGCUACACGACCGGGUCCCAAGAGGGGCAUGGCACGUUCCGACGCUUCGGAGCAGCUCAGCUCCGUUUGCCGGUCCAGACACGACCCACUGCCAGUUGUUCUAUUUCCUGACCGAGGGGUACCUCAGCAUGGAUGCACUGGCACACAGCUGGCCCCGGGCGUAUGCAAGUAUGUGUUUCCCCCAGUGAGCCUAUUCGCACAGACCCUGUGCAAGGUCAGGGAGGAUGAGGAGCAGGUCUUGCUGGAUGCACCGGAUUGGACCUGGUUCCCAGAACUCAUGCUCCUUGCGACAGCCCUUCCCUGGCGGAUUCCCCUGAGGAAGGGCCUUCCUUCUCAUGGACAGGGCACCAUGUGGCAUUUAUUUUCAUUAUAGUUAUUGUUAUAUUUAUAGUUAUCAUAUAAGUUAUGGUUAUAGUUAUUGUUAUAACUAUCAUUCUUGGUGUAAACGUAAGGGCCAGUUUGAACUUCUUAAAAAUGCGUCUCGAGACCCACAUUUACUGCCUCCAGCUGUUUUUGAAAGCAUUAAGGUCCAGUGUGAACGGCCCUUAAUUCUGCCCGAUGCUGUCUAUGUAGGCAGCUCGCUGUGGUUUGGAAUAGAUCUCGUGUCUCAGCUCAUCUCUCUCAUCUUCCAGCUUUCUUGGCAGUCGUGUUGGCGCUGGGACAUGUAGUCUGCUGUGAUGCUAUCAGAGCGGGUGUUGAUGAAUCCAUCAUCCACUCCACAUCCGCUUCCAGCACUAAAUAGGAAUGCUGUGUUCGGUUCUAAAAAUAUCCCAGAGAUAAACAAUCAGAGAAAAUUACCUCCAAAAAGCUGCGUGCCGUUUCCACGUUCACCCGAGCAUGGCGUGUCAAGAUGGGCUGAUAAGGACGUGCUCAGAAAACCACGAGAAACAUGAGCGCCACACCCAAGAUGGCCGCCAGGUUAACCCUUCAACUUGACACACAUAACCAGUGACCUUCACUCUCAGUCCUGUCAGAGCCAGUCUGCGUUUGAGCAAUUGACUUGAUCAAAAGUGACAGUAAAGACAUUUAUAAUGUUAUAAAAUACUUUAAAUAAAUGCUUUCUAUUUAAAAAUAAAACGUAUCACAGUUUCCACAAAGAUCUGAAUCGCAUCACUGUUCCUUCAGCUAUCAGACACGUUUCCAUAUUUGUCACAGAUGCAUCAUUGCUAUUUUUGUCAUUCCAGAUUCAACAGCUUUGUUUUAUCUAAAACAACUUACAUUGUGUUCAAUCUUAACAUUUUUUCAAUUCAUUCAUUUUCUGGGAAUUGAACUUGUGAGCGCCAUGAUCUGCUAUUUGAGCUAAUGGAAUCAAUAUAGUUUUGUGCCUUAUUGCUUUUAAAACUACAAA